GAACUGGAGCUAAUUCCGAAUAGGUCAAAUAUGCUGGAAUGCUUUUUGGCCAAAAGACCUCGGUUGCCUAAGGAUGGAUCUGCGGUCUAUCAGGUUGUAGUGGGUGUAACGUACCUACUAGCCUACGACGGAUAUGGGUUGUGAGAGCAAGAGCCCAGAGAUGGAUUCUGAGACAUGAAUCCAGGCCCUACGGGGCGCAGCAGGCGCGAAAACUUUACAAUGCGGGAAACCGCGAUAAGGGGACACCGAGUGCCAGCAUUUAUGUUGGCUGUCCACAUGUGUAAACGGCAUGUGUUAGCAAGGGCCGGGCAAGACCGGUGCCAGCCGCCGCGGUAACACCGGCGGCCCGAGUGGUAAUCACUUUUAUUGGGUCUAAAGGGUCCGUAGCCGGUUUGAUCAGUUCUUCGGGAAAUCUGACAGCUCAACUGUUAGGCUUCCGGGGAAUACUGUCAGACUUGGGACCGGGAGAGGUAAGAGGUACUACAGGGGUAGGAGUGAAAUCUUGUAAUCCCUGUGGGACCACCAGUGGCGAAGGCGUCUUACCAGAACGGGUCCGACGGUGAGGGACGAAAGCUGGGGGCACGAACCGGAUUAGAUACCCGGGUAGUCCCAGCCGUAAACGAUGUUCGCUAGGUGUCAGGGGCGGUGCGACCGCUUCUGGUGCCGUAGGGAAGCCGUGAAGCGAACCACCUGGGAAGUACGGCCGCAAGGCUGAAACUAAGAGGAAUUGGCGGGGAGCACUACAACGGUGAGCU
rnacentral:rRNA from 1 species